rnacentral:rRNA from 1 species
CGCCGACGAGUUUGAUCAUGGCUCAGGAUGAACGCUAGCUACAGGCUUAACACAUGCAAGUCGAGGGGCAGCACAGUGUAGCAAUACAUGGGCGGCGACCGGCGCACGGGUGCGUAACGCGUAUCCAACCUUCCCGUUACUCAGGGAUAGCCUUCCGAAAGGGAGAUUAAUACCUGAUGGUGUUUGAAUUUCGCAUGUUAUUUGAAUUAAAGAUUUAUCGGUAACGGAUGGGGAUGCGUGACAUUAGGUAGAUGGCGGGGUAACGGCCCACCAUGCCUACGAUGUCUAGGGGUUCUGAGAGGAAGGUCCCCCACACUGGUACUGAGACACGGACCAGACUCCUACGGGAGGCAGCAGUGAGGAAUAUUGGUCAAUGGGCGCAAGCCUGAACCAGCCAAGUCGCGUGAAGGACGACGGUCCUAAGGAUUGUAAACUUCUUUUGUCGGGGAGUAAAAUCGGAUAUGUAUAUCCGACUGCAAGUACCCGAAGAAAAAGCAUCGGCUAACUCCGUG